CCGCCAAUGGAUGACAGAGAGGAGAACAAUAUUUUUGUUCCUAUUGUUAAUCAGCGCUAUUAAUUUGAUGCAGCGCUCGGCGAUACCUUAUGAAAAUUUUGAUGGUGUACUAAGACCGACAGAGUAUUUUGGAGUUAACGGUUCGAGAAUAAGCAUUUUUGGAAAAAUAAUUGUCAAUUUAGUUUUUCAUAACAUUGAAAAAGAACUUAUAUUUUUCGUUGUACCAAACAACUAUAUUUCGUGUAAUGUCCUUCUGGGGCGCAGUUUCCUUGAAAAUUAUGGAAUAAAAUUAAUUUUUGAAAAUGAAA